CUGGGUGAUCAGAGUCCAGCGGCAGAUAAGGCCUGAGAAGCAAACGCUCUCUGGACACCCAGGAACCAAGGGUAUUAUCCUAGGAAAGACCACUUGCCUUCAAAGACAGCAAGAUGGCGUUCGGCACGAGACAACUUCUCGUGUUGGUGCUCCUUGCGGCCAUAUUUUACUGGGUCGACAGCACACCAGUUAGAGGCGGCGAACAAGAUACCACGGAAGACAUCCAAAAUGAAGAUUUGGAAACUGCCAACGAUGAUCAGGACUCUGGAAUGUUUGGUCGCUUGUGGUCCAGCUUUAGUACCCUUACCACUCUAACAAAGGGUGCUACAGACGAAAGGUUGUUUCGCUUCCGCCAAAAUCUCUUGAACACUUGGCACAACAGUGUUUCAUCACUAACAAAAGCUAGCAAGAGAUACCGCCGAAGUUUAGAAGAUGGAAUAACGACCGAUACAGAGGGCUACUGGAUGCUUACUGAUCUUCAAUCAAGUGUCCACCCCCGACUAAGCACGUUUAGUGCUCCUUCUGGGAUGAAUUCUUUCGUUAUGUUUGAGCACCAGUCUUUCCUGGUGUGGUUAACCACUUACGGCACUGGAAUAAGCGUCUACCUCCUCUCUAUUGCCAAUGAUUCGCUGCAGCAGGCUUCGGUUGUCAGCACAGGUGCAUCAAAAUGUAUACCUGUAAUGAAGGCUACUUCAUUCAUUGAAAUAGUCUGUGCAGAAAGUGUAUCUGAAACGGAUCGGAUUGGAAGUAGUGUAUACAGAAUAACUUGGAGCAAUGGCCUCAAACUAGAAUUCUUAAGGGCCUUGCCAACGCAGGCAGCAAGAGAUGUAGCACUCUGGGGAAUUGGCAAUGAUGUGUUUUUGGCCUUUGCAAAUUCCUUCGACUCUACAACAAACAGCAUGGAGUGCAUUAGUAAUGUAUUCCAACUAGAGACUGCUGUAACUUCGAAAGGCACUUACACUAACUACGACAAGCUAGACACUGCCGAUUUCUUUACAAAGAGUGCGCGUAGCCUAGAGGCCUUCAAGAUCAUGACUAGGCAGUUUGUAGCAGUGGCAAACCAUAUGGAUGAUAAAAGCAAUGUGGAGAUAGACAGUGAGAUCUUCAUCUACGACGUCCAUUAUGCACGAAUGAGGCCUUUCCAACGCAUCCGGACCAGUGCUGCUAGGGACUGGGCUGCUUUCCACUUUUCAAAUGGAAAGAAAUCGGAGCACUUCUUAGCAGUUGCUAAUGAAUAUAGCCUUGAUGCAAGUGGCAGGAAAAACUACAACAUAGACUCGGUCAUCUAUAGGUAUGAUGAAGCCAGCGAGAAAUUCUUGCCUUUCCAGUGCAUUCCAACCCAAGGUGCAUACCAGUGGAUAACUUACAAGGGAGAGCAUGGUGAAGUGCUGCUGGGUGUUGUGAAUAGCGCAUCGGGUGUAGCCUUCUACCAAUACAAUGGGUGGCGCUUCGUCAGGAUAAAUAUACCCUUGUCGGCUCCAGGAGUAGAAUGGGCAUGGAUUGGCAACCUGCCAAACACCUUAAAUAAGGCACUCUUCAUGAUGUCGACAAGCCAGGCUAAUCCACGACCAGCUUCUUCUUACCUAGAGUUUACAUACCAGAAUCCACUUGGGACCUACCACAAUGCUACUGCUGAAUGGUGCUCAGCAUACAAGACUGAAAUGGCCAAUGAUGGGUUGUCACAACUUGUUCUGGAUGUACAACAGGCCCCCAAAACCACCGAAAGCCAUACUUUCACGAAACCUGUACACAUCGAUGGCAGCCUGACUCUUCCUGCAGGCUCGGCAGUUUCGGAAGUGAAAGAUAUCCUCUGCCAAUCUGAAUCCAUGGCAGUGGACUACAAGUUCCAUGCAGACACAAGGACGCUAAUUGAUGACCGGAAGGCUCUCGAAGUUCGGCUUGCAGGAGUUGCCAACACCGUCUCCCAAUCCAGAUCCAUUAACAACCCAGACUUGGAUGGACUUCACUUUGCUCACCUGGUUACUACAUGCAGUACACCAGGAUGUGUUGCCAGUACAGUUGACUCUCUAACGGCAGACACGGUCAAUGGUGUUGUAGCCUCUUAUGACGGUGUUGCCCUAUUGAACAACACAAAUGUGAAGCUCAACCUAACCUUUGCUGAAGUAGCAGUGGCAGGAGGUGCUCUAGCAAUUGUAGAAAACGUCAAGGCUGAUAAUACGGCUGUUAUUCCCAUGAAUGAGCUGGUAACCCUCCACCAGGACCACACCAUAACUGCAGAUGUUGCUUUUGACAAGGUUCUGGUUGAUAACCUGCAAGUCUCUGGUACAGUCGAUGCAUUGACUGUGGACGAUUCUACUCUUUCUACUGACCUAUGGUGAACAACUGUAAAUGGACUGGUAACGGUAGAUGGUGCUGAUAGUACACUAAUAAGUACUACCAAUGUCAAUGGCAGAAACUUCGAUGAUUUUGUAGCAUCUCUCAUUGUGAAUGGAACCAGAUACUUUUGAAGGACUGCUGGAAGUAGGUGAUGAUCUAAUAGCGCCCAACAUAGAUACUGUGGAAAGCAUGACGCCCCUUAACCCUGUAGAUGUUAAGGCCCGUGCACUCCUCCACACAACAACAAACACCCAAGUUGUUACUGGACUCCAUAGUGUUGGCAGCCUGGAGGCAGUUAAUGGAGUUUGGUUUGACAAUCUGAAUGGUGUUCUAGUACCAGAUGAGGUAUUCCUGAAGGAUGAAACGGUGACUGUCUCUGUUCCCACCACUUUCGACUCUAUCUCGGCUCAGAGUAUUCAAGUAACAAAUGCCAUAAACGAUGUGAAGCAAGUGGGAGGUAGCUUGGAAUUCCUCUUGCUUAACAAAGAUGCAACACUGUCAAAGAAGACUUUCACCAGUCUCACACUAGAGAAGGACUCUACUGUGGCCAAGCUAGUGGCUGGUUAUGACUUGGAUUACCUAGCAACAGGACUUCAUGAACAGUUCUUGAAGGAUCUUAAUGCUGGAAGAGCUGUGAACGGCUCGGUGAUCUUCGAUAAAGAACUAGAUGUUACUAGUGAUAAGAUCCAUGGUGUUAGUAUUGGCAAGAUCAGGGAUACAGCAGUUCCCCUCACUGCCACAAGCUUGAAUACUGCUCUGACCUUUGAAAAACCUGUCCAGAUUGCUGGUGCUUUGACUGUUUCGUCUACCAUUAACGGAGUUGGAAAGGAUGACUACGUACUCUUGGAUUCUGACCACACCAUUGUCUCUCCAAAGACCUUUGUUUCGGAUAUGGAGUGUCGUGAUGAUGUGACGGCAGGACUAGUCAGUGGUUAUGACCUUGCCAAGUUUGCAACUGAUGUAGUACUCAAGAAGGGCUCUGCACAGAACAUUCUACAAGACUUGUCAAUGACGUCAGCAGAUGUGAAUGGUGACCUGAAUGUAGCUGGCCAAAUAACCAUUGGUGGUGUAAACUUUGAUAGUGUCGUCGCUCUUAAUGCAACUGAAACCGUGAGAGGCAAAGACUUCACAGAGGUUGAAGUAACUCUUCAACAUCUGCUGGUGCUGUUAUGUGGGUAACUUUGAACAGUUGAUGGUGUAGUGAUCAAAGAAAUUUUUCUUUGACGACAGCCUGAGGAAAUCUGUGUCAACAACCCAGGAGUUGGUUGGUAGGAACAUGGUUACAAUAGUAGCACAAAAUGCUGAAGGAACGGACCUUUCAGCCUUUGAAAGGAAGGUUGUGUACAAGGAUACAACCGAGACCAUUUCUGGUGGUUUACAUUUGAAGGCUCGGUUUCGGUUGAUACUCUUCACUUCGAAAGAGACUUUGAUGGUGUAUCAGAACAAGCAUACAAGUCUGCUUGGCUUCUAAAUGAAGGUCCCCAGACCCUAACUGGAGUGAACUCUCUUGCCAAUGUUGAUGCAUCUGCUGUGACCUUCCAAGGAACAUACAUAGAUAAUGUAGAUAUUGGUCGCUUGCAUACAAUGACUGCAAAGAUUGAUGAACAGACCAACCCUGAAUUCGACAAACAUUGUUGAGGUGGAGUCAUUAUCUCCAAUUACCUUGGAUGGAACUAUCCAAGGCUGGCAUCUUCAUGAGCAGGCCUUGCAGUCUUCCUCAACACAUCAAAGGGUUACUGGCAGGAAGAAGUUUACAAAACCCAUACACAUUAAAAACAGUAUUGCUGUAAAUGACUUUGUCAUUGUUCCUAAAGUGGGUGGUGGAGAACCCCUGGUGCUUGAAAUGAGCCAAUUCUGUAGCUCUUUCAUGCAGAAUGGAAAGGUCAUGGGAGACCUUGUAGUAAACGGUAAUGCUGUGUUCAAUAAGGACUUGGCUAUCAGCAACUCCUUCAACAAUGAGAACGUGGCAACCCUUGCCAGUGUGUUUUGGCUGAGUGACAUGGAUAACACAGUAUCUAGUGUAAAGGACAUCGAUAGUGCCAAAGUCACUGGGAAUGCACACAUCAUAAUGAAGGGCUUGAUAAAUGGUGAAGACUUCUCUACCUUGUCAGAAGAAGUACUGAAGAACACUUGUAAAGAACAAAGGGUAACUGCAUCUUGGAAUCUGGCUAACCUUGAAGCUUCUAGCUUGCAAGCAGACACUGUAACAAAUCCUCUACAGGAUUCGGAUGUGUUUGAGCUUGAAAGAAUCCUGAGGACAGACAAGAUGCAGACCAUUUCUGGUGCAAAGACCUUCCCAGAAGUCCAAGUAACAGGAUCUGUGGCUCUUGAUGGAACCUCAAUGGACUGGAUGUGAAGACCAAUUUAGUCAGUAGGUAAGAGUGCUGAAAUAACUGCUGAAAAGACUUUCAAUCAAAAGCUGACCAUAAAAGGAGACUUGUCCAUGGGCAGUGGUAGCACUGUUCAGGGUGUUGAUGUAUCGGCAUUUGAAGAAUCUGCUGUACUACAUAAUGACAGUGGCAUUACAAAGCCUGUUAGUGGAAUUACUACCUUCAAAGGCUUGACCUUGAAAAACCUAGAAGUUGGUGGUACUGUUGAUGGUGUACAGGUAGAUAGUAAUACUAUUCUCCUGACCACUGGAGCAACAAAAUGUAGCUGGCUUGGUCACUGUAUCUGUACCUGACAAGACAAGGAAACACACCCUUGAUUUAAAUGGGGGUCUUCUAGAAGAGGGCCCCAAAAGCUUCACAAGCUCAAAGGUACUUAGGAAAAAGGCAACGACCUCUGGGAUUUAUGAAACAAGUUCCAGGAAAAAAAUGUCAAACUACAACCAGCACGUAAGUAAAGUGUUGUACUCUGGUUAUUUGACCUUUUUAUUCACAAGCCAUGUCUUAAUUUCCAAUAUUCAUAGGUUGUCAAAUCCCUUGGGACACAACUCUGUUGAUGCUUUUGUUGGCCUGAACUGGGAUGAUACAAGUGUCCAGAUAUAUGGGCCCGAGCUUGGAAGAAGAUCCUUAGCUGAUGAACUAAAGGACCUCUGUGAAGAGAAGGAACAUUUGGAUGUGUUGUCAGCUUUCCCACCCACCAAGUGCAGUAUUAGUGUUCCUAAAGCAACUGUAGCUGCUGGCUUUGGGAAGCAAUCACUUGGCUGUAUGUGGCAACUCGCUUGUAACUUUCCCAUAUACAGCUUCGUCAACUACCAACAGAUUUCAGAUGAGCUGGGCCAAGGAACUCCUAUGGCCACAUCUUCUCCAUUAGUCCAGUCGAAACUGUUGUAUCCUUCAGUACCAUACAUGCAGAGACCUAGUGGUUUAUCCACUCAGGCAUUCCACUUGCAUAAUGGUAAGGACUGCUUGGCAGUGAUUGAUCAUGAAACCUCCUCUGCUGUGAUUUGUGGAACUGCACCAACAGGAUACAGGCUACUGAACUACCUGGGAACUAGUCGUGCAGUUGAGGCAGCAGCAUUUACCUUGGGGAAAACUUACCUGGUUGUGCUGGAAGAUGAUUCCUUCAGCUCUUCCUCAAAUUUGAAGACUUUCAAAUAUGAUGCGGGUACAAACGCUAUGGCUCUGGAGUUCAACCAUGACCUAAAAAAGGCUUCACACCUUGAUGCCCUGGCUGGCAAGAAUGAAGCAUAUGUAGCAGUGACUCACAGCUCCUCCCCUAUUGCUACAGGGGUUUGACAUAUUCACAUUAAGGAUAAAUCUGGUUCUGUGGAGAGGGAGAAAAUGCAGACCUUGAAGGUGCCUGGUGCUUUGGCAAGUAACUUUGGAGAAUUGACCAAGUAUGAUUGGGUCUCUUCACCCAGACUGAGCAUGGUGUUCAUGUGUAUGUUUUAAAGGGGAAUGCAGUUCGUGUACGAAAGGAUGGGGAAAGCCUACAGGAGGUAG